rnacentral:rRNA from 1 species
GACGAACGCUGGCGGCGUGCUUAACACAUGCAAGUCGAACGGAAAGGCCCUGCUUUUGUGGGGUGCUCGAGUGGCGAACGGGUGAGUAACACGUGAGUAACCUGCCCUUGACUUUGGGAUAACUUCAGGAAACUGGGGCUAAUACCGGAUAGGAGCUCCUGCUGCAUGGUGGGGGUUGGAUAGUUUCGGCGGUUGGGGAUGGACUCGCGGCUUAUCAGCUUGUUGGUGGGGUAGUGGCUUACCAAGGCUUGGACGGGUAGCCGGCCUGAGAGGGUGACCGGCCACGUUGGGACUGAGUUACGGCCCAGACUCCUACGGGAGGCAGCAGUGGGGAAUAUUGCACAAUGGGCGGAAGCCUGAUGCAGCAACGCCGCGUGCGGGAUGACGGCCUUCGGGUUGUAAACCGCUGUCGCCUGUGACGAAGCGUGAGUGACGGUAAUGGGUAAAGAGGCACCGGCUAACUACGUG